rnacentral:rRNA from 1 species
UACGUAGGGGGCAAGCGUUGUCCGGAUUUAUUGGGCGUAAAGGGUGCGUAGGCGGCGCGGUAAGUCGGGGGUGAAAUCUCGGAGCUUAACUCCGAAACUGCAUUCGAUACUGCCGUGCUUGAGGACUGGAGAGGAGACUGGAAUUUACGGUGUAGCGGUGAAAUGCGUAGAUAUCGUAAGGAAGACCAGUGGCGAAGGCGGGUCUCUGGACAGUUCCUGACGCUGAGGCACGAAGGUCAGGGGAGCAAACGGG